GAACACUCUCCCCCGCCUCUCUGCCCCUUCUUAUCUCAUUCUUCUUCUUCGGUUUGUCUCUGUCGCAUCCUCAUCCUUUCCCCCGUCUUCUUCGCAUUCCCAGAGAAACCUUUGACUUCCCUUCUCUCUCUGUACGGACACACCUCUCCCCCCUGUUUCUUCUUCGCAUCCUUCCGUUUGAGGUCCGAAGAGAAACCCCGAAGGGUGUCCAUGGAAGCCCUUAACGACGCCAUCACUCUCGUAACUCCGUUCCAUUUGAGGUCCGAAGAGAAACCCCGAAGCGUGUCCACGGAAGCCCUCAACGACGCCAUCACUCUCGUGACUCCCUCCCCCUCCCUCCCUCUCUCUCUCUCUCUCUCUCUCUCUCUCCCUCUAUCUGUUGCUGGUAGAGCGGAAGCUAGUAUUCGCUUUAUCACACUCGCUUGAUUAGAAAACGAAAAAGUAUCGAACUUUUUCGAUGGCAAAGGAGCGUUUCAUUGUGCAUGUUCUGAUCUUUGUUUGCCUUGAAUCUGCAGUUAUAUUCUUCUGUAAAAUGACGAGCGAGAUGCAGCCAAGUAUAGCACAGGGUCCCGGAAGUGAGGGAUCGUUCUCUUCGCACCCGUCAGUUGAUGGCUCCGAUUUUGCAACCCCGUGAGUUACAUGCAUUUAUGUUAACAUCAUGAACUUUCCUCGUCCUGCAACCCGAGAAUCAUUUGUGGACUUCUCGGCAGUUAACUAUUCGUUUCCCUUUUUUUUUCUCAUUUUCUGUACUUUCCUUUACAGCCAAAAUGAUUGUUGAUGUAACGUUUACUAUGACGUAAAAAUUGAUGAUUCAACAAGUAUGUUUUGAGGAAAGAUCGAAAACAGACAACUAAGAAGAUUAUAAAACCAACUACGGAAUUUAAAGUGUAAUAGAACAAUCUAACGUCCGGGCAAGUCUAGUCAUAAUCUCUCAAAUCUGACUAUCCUAGAUAUAGCAUAAUUCCAAUAUAACAUGCAUAGUAUAGAAAAUCAAGAAUAUAACACCUAAACUCAAAAACAAAAAGGUGACAAUUAUUUUUGAUCUUAAAAUAACCCAUGAACUUGAAUAAUCCCCAUAUCAUCCUAAAACCAUAAACAAAUGCUCGGUAUUGAAAUAAAUCCAAAAAUGAAAAUACCCACAAGUAACAAUUAUUUUGAAAUAAGCCCUACAUGUAAACCAAGAAAUCUCAAAACGAGCAUCAAAUGACCUUGAUAUGACCCGAAAACCAUUAAAUUAUCUCGAAGAAUUGCUAGUAACAUCAAAAGAAAGAAAGACUAGUAAUAUAACACCAAAACCAAAAAUAAAUAAUACCGUAAUGUAAUCAUGAAAUAACUCCCAUAACCAAAAACAAAUCAUAAGUAACUCAAAAUGAGUCUAAAAUAACCCCGAUUUACCCCUUCAACCAUUAAUAAAUGCUCACCAUUUAAAUGAGAAAAUGCAAAAAAAUCCGUGCCACAAGUACGUUUCGAGUUUUGGGCGUUGGGGGUUUUGGGAUUGGGGUUAACGGUUGGGGAUUGGGAUUGGGAUUGGGUUUGGGUUAGGGGUAUGGUUUUGUGUUUACAUGGUUUGCGGGUUGGAGGUGGGGCUUGGGGAUUUGUGGAUUAGGUUUUAGGGUUUUAGGGUUUAAGGUUUAAUAUGGUGCCUGUUUAGGCCGCCUUUGAGAUGAAUUUGCGUUCUAAUCGAGGCUUAGGUUGUUGACUUGCUAAGAUUUAUCUCAUCCCAUCGUGGUUAACCUUUUUCAGGGCCGUAGUGUGGAGAUUUGCUAAGUGCGGAUUUGGUGGGCGCGAGAUGCGACACAUUUUGGCUGGCUCUGUUGCUAGUGAAGUUUAGGUUCACCUUAGUUCCUGAAGGUUUUUGAAAGAGUCGAUAGGAAGUGGCCAUAGGAAGG
rnacentral:lncRNA from 1 species